AGCACCACGAACGGGUGGAGCUUGUCGGUUUAAUUGGAUUCAACGCCGGAAAUCUUACCGGGACCGACAGCAAUAUGAAGGCCAGGCUGAAGACUUUGCCGGAUUAGCUGAGAGGUGGUGCAUGGCCGUCGUCAGUUCGUACUGUGAAGCAUCCUGUUAAGUCAGGCAACGAGCGAGACCCACGCCCACAGUUGCCAGCGUACUCUCUGGAGUGACGGGUACACUGUGGGGACCGCCGCUGCUAAAGCGGAGGAAGGAAUGGGCAACGGUAGGUCAGUAUGCCCCGAAUAUCCCGGGCUACACGCGAGCUACAAUGGUUGGUACAAUGGGUAUCUACCCCGAAAGGGGACGGGAAUCUCCUAAAACCAAUCUUAGUUCGGAUUGAGGGCUGCAACUCGCCCUCAUGAAGCUGGAAUCCGUAGUAAUCGCGUUUCAACAGAACGCGGUGAAUACGUCCCUGCUCCUU
rnacentral:rRNA from 1 species